rnacentral:rRNA from 1 species
UCCGUAGGCGGGCUAAUAAGUCAGGGGUGAAAUCCCACAGCUCAACUGUGGAACUGCCUUUGAUACUGUUAGUCUUGAGUUAUAUGGAAGUAGAUAGAAUGUGUAGUGUAGCGGCGAAAUGCAUAGAGAUUACACAGAAUACCGAUUGCGAAGGCAGUCUACUACGUAUAUACUGACGCUAAUGGACGAAAGCGUGGGGAGCGAACAGGAUUAGAUACCCUGGUAGUCC